CACCUAUUUAUCCGGAGGAUCCGAGUUUGACUCUGACAGUCCCUGAAGAUGACGACGAUGAGACCCAAGAGUAAUGAUUUUUGGUUCUUUUAAAAACUUGAACUUUUUUUUUUAUGAUUUUUAGGUUGUUUGUUUGUAUUACAUUGAUGUUUAAGCUUAUUAACACUUUGUUUGUAUUACAUAUAUAUAAUUUUCUGUUAUUUUCUUUGUUUUAAAU
rnacentral:lncRNA from 1 species